GAGUUUGAUCGUGGCUCAGAUUGAACGCUGGCGGCAUGCCUUACACAUGCAAGUCGAACGGCAGCAUGAUCUAGCUUGCUAGAUUGAUGGCGAGUGGCGAACGGGUGAGUAAUACAUCGGAACGUGCCCUGUAGUGGGGGAUAACUAGUCGAAAGAUUAGCUAAUACCGCAUACGACCUGAGGGUGAAAGUGGGGGACCGCAAGGCCUCAUGCUAUAGGAGCGGCCGAUGUCUGAUUAGCUAGUUGGUGGGGUAAAGGCCCACCAAGGCGACGAUCAGUAGCUGGUCUGAGAGGACGAUCAGCCACACUGGGACUGAGACACGGCCCAGACUCCCACGGGAGGCAGCAGUGGGGAAUUUGGACAAUGGGCGAAAGCCUGAUCCAGCAAUGCCGCGUGUGUGAAGAAGGCCUCGG
rnacentral:rRNA from 1 species